rnacentral:rRNA from 1 species
UACGGAGGGUGCGAGCGUUGUUCGGAAUCACUGGGCGUAAAGCGCGUGUAGGCGGCUUCUUAAGUCUGGUGUGAAAUCCCGGGGCUCACCCCCGGAAGUGCACUGGAUACUGGGAAGCUCGAGUACCGGAGAGGAGGGUGGAAUUCCUGGUGUAGCGGUGAAAUGCGUAGAUAUCAGGAGGAACACCUGUGGCGAAGGCGGCCCUCUGGACGGAUACUGACGCUGAGACGCGGAAAGCGUGGGGAGCAAACAGG